rnacentral:rRNA from 1 species
CCCUUAGAUGUCCUGGGCUGCACGCGCGCUACACUGAUGUGUCCAGUAAGCACCUAACCUCUUCCGAAAGGAACGGGUAACCUUUGCAAAGCACAUCGUGAUGGGGAUAGAUUAUUGCAAUUAUUAGUCUUGAACGAGGAAUUCCUAGUAAGCACAAGUCAUCAGCUUGUGUUGAUUACGUCCCUGCCCUUUGUACACACCGCCCGUCGCUCCUACCGAUUGAAUGUUCCGGUGAGCUCUUCGGACUGCGCGGUCUGCAGUUUCUGCGUUCCGUGCGGAAAGUUGCGCAAACCUUAACAUUUAGAGGAAGGAGAAGUGGUAACA